rnacentral:rRNA from 1 species
GACGAACGCUGGCGGCGUGCUUAACACAUGCAAGUCGAACGGGCCUGUCUUCUUUUUUGGGGGGUGGGUUGAGUGGCGAACGGGUGAGUAUCACGUGAGUAACCUGCCCUUCGGUCCUGGAUAACCGCUUGAAAGGGCGGCUAAUACGGGGUGGUCCGGUUGGUCCGCAUGGGCUGGUCGGGAUAGAUUCACUGUUUUUGGUGUUUCGGCGGGGGAUGGGCUCGCGGCCUAUCAGCUUGUUGGUGGGGUGAUGGCCUACCAAGGCGGUGACGGGUAGCCGGCCUGGGAGGGUGGGCGGCCACACUGGGACUGAGGUACGGCCCAGACUCCUGCAGGGGGCAGCAGUGGGGGGUAUUGCACAAUGGGCGGAAGCCUGAUGCAGCGACGUCGCGUGAGGGAUGGAGGCCUUCGGGUUGUGAACCUCUGUUUCCGGUGGUGAAGGCCCUGUCCGUGUGGUGGGGUUGACGGUAGCCGGGGAUGAAGCGCCGGCUAACUACGUG